CCAGCUUGGUGUCAUCUGCAAACUUACUGAGGGUGCUCUCCAUGCCCUCAUCCAGGUCAUCAAUAAAGAUACUGAAGAGGACAUGCUCCAUAUUUCCUGUGUUUCCUGAAAUGCUUGUGACUAAUCCCACAUUCUUUUUAAUUUCUUCUUUAAGUGGCAGGAUAUUUCUCAAAAAUAACAAGGAAUGUCACAUAUAUUUUAAAUACAAAUGUUAUAAUUGCUUAUGGUUUGGUGUUAAAGAGUUCUUUACCUUUUCGGUAAUACUUUUAAGAAAAAAAAGAUUUUUUCAAUGCAUGUAGAUUGAUUAAUUACAUUUUUGAUGUUUCUACUUUACAGUACUUCAGGUAUUAGGACACAGAGUUUGAAUGUCUCUUUCUUUCUACUCAUGAAUCUACAUAGCGAUUAAUCUGCUACCUAAUAAUGCUGUUAUCGGUCAUUCAUUCUGCUAAAUGUCAAAGGCAAAGAACACACUGCACAAUAACAUUGAACUCUUUUUGUAAAUGAAAGAUAUUUUAGAUCUCAAAGAGAAGGGAAAAAAUGUUUCAAUUGUUUUUGUCAUAUUUAUGUGAAGAAAACCAUGGCUAGAAAUUUCCCUAGACGUUUAAAUCCAUGUCAUUUGUUUGCAAAAGCUUAUUUUAAGAGUCUGAAAAAAGGCUAUUUUACUGUUAGAGUUUGACAAAGAGGGAAUCAGUUCGCUGCCUAAUGAGAGAAGGGCAUUCAAAUAGGAGGCUACUAAGAGUGAUGAUUCAAAGAGGCUGUCAUUGAGAUAACAGAUGAAGAGGCAGAAGGGUGUAAGGCCAGAGGACAAAAUACUUCAAGGUUUCCUUAGCUGUAAAACGUUCUCCUUGCCACCUCCUCCUCAUUAUUCUGAUGUGUUUGAUUAAUGCAGUUAAUAUGGUGUUUAAUAUGAAAAAUAAAUGCUCUCAAACACUUGCACUUCCUGUCAUCCAGGAGAGGAGAUCAGACCUAGUUGAAACAUUAACUGAGAGGAGAAGGAAGAGUCUGAAAAUAAUAGAUAUUUUAGUAACACUGAAAACAUACUCAUUUCUGUUGGUUGUUUUUUUUUUCCUCUUGUUUAUGGUGGUUUUUUUUUCCUCCAUCUACUGUGUCUCAUUACUUCUGCAACUUCUGUGUGAGGGACCUCGGAAUAAGAAGAAAAUACUUUCAAGUAUGGAAAAAUCAGGCACAGUAAUAUCAUUGCCUUCUGAAAUAUCUAGGAGGUUCUCCUGGUUGAGAGCAGCCAUUACUCCAGCCUACCUCAUCUACCAUCACAGAUUACUAGUGAUCAGCAUCCUCUUCCAAGAUGCAUCUUUUCCUUCUACAUAAAAUCCCAAGGCACUCAUCAGUCUCCUUUAAUCUUCACUGUCUGGUGGUGCUUCUAUCCAAUAAUCCAUUCAACAGGCCUCUGAAGAAAAGUACUUACGUUUCUGACACAUCUGUCUACAUCACCAUCAGCAUUGUCAUGUAAGCAGAACACAGGCGAAGUGUGGGAAGAUGGCACGAGAUGUGAUGCACAGCACAGUAUGAUAUUAUCAUCUUGUCCUUUCUUUUUGGUUUCUGCUGUCCUGAAGACAGGAAAAUCCAGCAAGUCUAGAAACAAAAGACAAAGUGUUGCUAUUACGGAUGGUCCUGCUUCAGCUUACCUUCAGCACAAGUGAAACAAAACAAAACAGCAAAAAACACAUAGAGAAAUCCAAAUAUCUCUAUGGAAAAAGUGACCAGAUGGACAAUUUUUAGGUAACGGGAGUCUUAAAUAAUGGGGAGUGACAGAAAAACUUUAUGAUGUUCUGUUAAUUUUAUAAUGAAACAGAAUUGUAGUAGGUAACAUUAAAUUUGGAAGACUUU